rnacentral:rRNA from 1 species
AGGACGAACGCUGGCGGCGUGCCUAACACAUGCAAGUGGAGCGACGAACCAGGCUUCGGCCUGGGGCAAAGCCGCGAACGGGUGAGUAACACGUGGGUAACCUGCCCCGAUGAUUGGGACAACCCGAGGAAACUCGGGCUAAUACCGAAUGUGCCCUACGGCCAUAAGGCCGCUGGGGAAAGGAAGCUUCGGCCUCCGCAUCGGGAUGGGCCCGCGGCCCAUUAGCUUGUUGGUGAGGUAACGGCUCACCAAGGCGACGAUGGGUAGCUGGUCUGAGAGGACGAUCAGCCACACUGGGACUGAGACACGGCCCAGACUCCUACGGGAGGCAGCAGUGGGGAAUCUUGCGCAAUGCGCGAAAGCGUGACGCAGCAACGCCGCGUGGGGGAAGAAGGCCUUCGGGUUGUAAACCCCUUUCAGUUGGGACGAAGCUUCGCCGGUGAAUAGCCGGUUGGAGUGACGGUACCUUCAGAAGAAGCCCCGGCUAACUACGUGCCAGCAGCCGCGGUAA